rnacentral:tRNA from 2 species
GCCGCUGUAGCUCAGUUGGCAGAGCGACGCUUUCGUAAAGCGUAGGUCGUCGGUUCAAGUCCGACCAGCGGCU